GCCAGGCACUGUGGCGUGUGCCUGUAGUCCUAGCUACUUGGGAGCCUGAGGCUGGAGGAUUGCUUGAAUCCAGGAGUUCUGGGCUGUAGUGCGCUAUGCUGAUUGGGUGUCCGCACUAAGUUCGGCAUCAAUAUGGUGACCUCCUGAGAGCAGGGGACCACCAGUUUGCCUAAGGAGGGAUGAAGCGGCCCAGGUCGGAAAUGGAGCAGGUUAAAGCUCCUGUGCUGAUCAGUAGUGGGAUCAUGUCUGUGAAUAGCCACUGCACUCCAGCCUGGGCAACAUAUCGAGACCCCAUCUCUA
ensembl:misc_RNA Metazoa_SRP Metazoan signal recognition particle RNA